rnacentral:lncRNA from 1 species
AUGGCUUCAAGACAACCAGAAGUGCCUGCUCUUGAGGCUAGUGGGCCUCUAGGCAAGAUGUCCCUGCCCUUCAGGAUAUACCGCCGGGCACUCAGCUAUGAUGAUACCCUCAAGGACCCUGCACCCAUGACUCCUCCUCCAUCAGACAUGGGCAGCAUCCCUUGGAAGCCAGUGAUUUCAGAGCACAAGUAUCAGCACCUCACCAAGGUGGAGGAAGGAGAGGCCAGUCUACCCUCCCCUGCCAGUCCCUGUCAUCGGCCAUUGACAGUGUGGACAAGCUCCCAGUGGUGAAGGCUAAAGCUACCCAUGUCGUCAUGAAUUAUGUGAUCACAAAACAGACCCAGGAAAGCUUUCAGCAUUUUGGGCAACAGGCAGGGCUGAGAGAUCCUGGCUACACACCCACAAGGGUGUCACCACUCAGAAGACCAAGUACCUUAGAGUAGCAGAAGCACUCCACAAACUAAAGCUGCAGAGUGGAGAGAUAACAAAAGAAGAGAGGCCACCUGCAUCAGCCCUGUCCACCCCAAGCACCACUUCUCACUUUUCACCUAAGCAGAGACCCAGGGGCUGGUUCACUUCUGGUUCUUCCACAGCCUUACCUGGCCCAAAUCCUAGCACCAUGGACUCUGGAAGUGGGGAUAAGGACAGAAACUUGUCAGAUAAGUGGGGCCUCUUUGGACUGAGAUCCCUUCAGAAGUAUGAUUCUGGAAGUUUUGCCACCCAGGCCUACCGAGGAGCCCAGAAGCCCUCUCCAAUGGAACUGAUCCGUGCCCAGGCCAACCGAAUGGCUGAAGAUCCAGCAGCCUUGAAGCCACCCAAGAUGGACUUCCCAGUGACGGAAGGGAGGAAACAGCCACCACGGGCACAUAAUCUCAAACCCCGUGACUUGAAUGUGCUCACACCCACUGGCUUC